rnacentral:lncRNA from 1 species
GUUAGCCGGGAUGGUCUCGGUCUCGAUCUCCUGACCUCAUCAUCCGCCCGCCUCGGCCUCCCAAAGUGCUGGGAUUACAGGCGUGAGCUACCGCGCCCGGCCCAGCACAGUUUUAACAAGCACUUUAUCCCCUAGUGCGCAAGUCCCUCCCCAAGUUCCUUAUAGGCUGAGUACUAUGGGGUCACAAUCCCCUCGGACGUUGCCUAUUGAUUGUUGGGUAGGGGCUUUAGGUAUUUUCUUUAGGGUUGUCUUGCUGCAUUUUGUUGCAGCCCACAAUGCAUUGUGAUCCUAGUUAGCUCAGGGGCUCUUUAAGUGUUUGACUUACGACCUAAGUAGCUGGACAGGCUGAUAAGAACAGAAAAAGCGAGCUAUUUUGCAGGACAGCUCUAGAUUUGAGAGGUGAGAGAGCAGAAUGUGUCUGCUUCAUAGAACAGGAUCAACUGUCUCUCAACACCAAUGAGCCGUUCUCCGCCACAGAUAUCUCUCCCAGGCCAUGACUCUCCACCAGGUCAUUGUUGUGAGAGAAUUCUAUGUACCCCUGGGGGUACUUCGCAAGAAAGACUUCGCAAGAAAGAAAUACUUUCAAUUUAAAACCCAACAGGAUGAUAUUGAGCGGUCCCCUUCCAAUGGGACGGACAAUAAAGAAAACAAGGAGCUCAGGCACUGUUCACAAC